rnacentral:rRNA from 1 species
ACAAUCUCAACCUUUUGUGGACGGCUUGCGGAACAGGCCUUUUCUCAACCGCGGGAUGGCGUCUGCUAGGCGCCUAUGUGCCUGUUGGAGCCACCAGUAAAUCACCUUUGACUCUCACACAACUGUAAGCUGAGAGAGCUUCUUCUAACCCUCGUGCCUAAACCCUAUUCUAUACCCUUUUCGUCCGAGUUACGACUCUUCUGGUUCACAUACGUCCUUCAACAGACGUCCACGAGACCACUUAGUGUUGGUGAGUGACUGUGGAUGUACACCGCUCUUCCACUUAACCGGCCGGGUGUAGUUUAACUACAGAUGUACUUCCUAGACGGCUGUUUGUCGACACUAUUUCGUGGUAUACUCCUCAACUCAUACUCUUGAUGUAAAACGUCGUAGACGUCUCCAUUCUCCGUAUUCUUCUGGUGGGCAGCUGUCUCUCUACUAAACGGCUUUGUUGGUUCCUUCCUUCGUUUUACGUCAUUGACACCACGUCGCCCUGUGUCCUUUUUAUUAACGUACUUGGGACUUCCACAAUUCGACGUUUAACCCGGACGUACCGAUCCCUAUCGUCUAAAUUCUAAGUUAAACGUUUGUUUGUUUACAAAAUACUAACUCCGUUUGAACACACCCGUCCGACACGUAUAUAGGGUCGAUCACUAGCUCAACGAAAUAUUUUCACGUCUAGGUAAUCGACCCAGAGAGAGACUCCGGUAAAAGUUAGCACACACCUUGGUUAAACUUCUUUUCCUAUAGCAACCCUCUCCCCCACCGCGUCGUUACAACGGUCCUCCUUCUACCGAGGUAGGUAGUCGAUCAGCUCGAGGCACAGGAGUACAGUCCGAACCGAACCUCACGACU